rnacentral:pre_miRNA from 1 species
CAAGUACUCCCUCCGUCCAGAAUUACUUGUCAUCAAAAUGGAUGUGUCUAGAACUAAAAUACAUCUAGAUACAUCCAUUUCAAUGACAAGUAUUUUCGGACGGAGGGGGUACAAG